rnacentral:rRNA from 1 species
CGAACCUUCGGGUUAGUGGCGGACGGGUGAGUAACGCGUGAGAAUCUGCCCUCAGGAGGGGGAUAACGGCUGGAAACGGCCGCUAAUACCCCAUAUGCCGAGAGGUGAAAUGAGUUUUCGCCUGAGGAUGAGCUCGCGUCUGAUUAGCUAGUUGGUGGGGUAAAGGCCUACCAAGGCAUCGAUCAGUAGCUGGUCUGAGAGGAUGAUCAGCCACACUGGGACUGAGACACGGCCCAGACUCCUACGGGAGGCAGCAGUGGGGAAUUUUCCGCAAUGGGCGAAAGCCUGACGGAGCAACGCCGCGUGAGGGAUGAAGGCCUCUGGGCUGUAAACCUCUUUUCUCAAGGAAGAAGAUCUGACGGUACUUGAGGAAUAAGCCACGGCUAAUUCCGUGCCAGCAGCCGCGGUAAU